rnacentral:rRNA from 1 species
UACGUAGGGUGCGAGCGUUGUCCGGAAUUAUUGGGCGUAAAGGGCUCGUAGGCGGUUUGUCGCGUCGGGAGUGAAAACCCAGGGCUUAACUCUGGGCUUGCUUUCGAUACGGGCAGACUAGAGGCAUGCAGGGGAGAACGGAAUUCCUGGUGUAGCGGUGAAAUGCGCAGAUAUCAGGAGGAACACCGGUGGCGAAGGCGGUUCUCUGGGCAUGUCCUGACGCUGAGGAGCGAAAGUGUGGGGAGCGAAC